GCCCGCCUAGCUCAAUCGGUAGAGCGUCAGACUCUUAGGCAGGGCCGAUCUGAAGGCUGCGAGUUCGAGACUCGCGGUGGGCU